GCUGGACCUGCAUACUCCCUCAGAAGCUGCAAGGAGUGCACGAUUGACGGAUGUGUAAUUUUCACCGUCUGGAAGUUUUACGGAAUUUUUAAUUGGUCUUAAAAGUGUUGCUCUUUGGUUUUGAAAUUGUGCCAUUUUGUGCGUUGACUGUGGUGGAAGAUGAAUUCGUUGGAAAAUUUUCGAUUGUGACGCGAAAUAAUGUGGAAAAUCGUGUUUUUCUUCUUCACUUUCAGACGGGACGAUGCUGCCAGACACGCCAGGAUGCAAUUGUGACGGAAUCCAACAUGGAUGCACCACGCCUGCUAAUUAAUGAUUUUUUCGUUGCAGGAAAAAUUUAAAACCGAAAAAUGCAAGCAAUUGUUGUUAAUGAUUUUUGAAAUUUUCAGCAGUCGUACCAUCUAGUUGGCCGUGCCCGUACUAAUUUGACGUUUUUCAAAUCCCAACCCAGAUGAUUCCGACGGUCUCAAGCUGGCCACGUCGAUCCACCAUCCGCUGUUUGGGAGUGGGGCGUGCCGCUGGCCAGGUUGCGAGCGGAUCUUCGACGAUUUCGACGAAUUUUACAACCACCUCCAGUCGGACCACAUCAACGGGGACUAUUCCGCGGCGCAGGCCCGCAUCCAGAUGGAGGUGGUCUGCCAGCUGCAUCUCCAACUCCAGAAGGAACGGGACCGCCUCCAGGCGAUGAUCCUACACCUGAACAAGAAGAACGAGAUGGCGGCCCGGAUUCCGAUGGCCGGCGCCGGUCCGUUCGUGCCGCAGAUUCCACCGCCACCCCCGCCCUACGAUUUGAUCGCCGGACUGCGUUUCCCACCGGCGGCGGUCGGAGGACCGGACGGACCAGGGGGAAUGGUCGAAGCAGUCGCGUUGCAACUCACCAACAAGCAGCAACAGUCGCAGCAGCAGCAGGCGUUGAAUCACCAUCACCAUCAGCAACAACAAUCGCAGCAGGCUGGGGGAGCUGGUGGAAAGUCGUCCAAAGGAGGAGGCGGUGCGGCAGCGAUGAGGGCGAAAUACUUUGGAUCGCAGGAGGCGCAGGAUGGAGGAGUCGGUGGAGCUGGCGGACCGGGAUUCAAGGAGAUCAACUAUCCGGAUGUGCAGGACGAUGUGCACAAGAAUCGGGAGUUUUACCGGAGCCACGACGUGAGGCCGCCGUUUACGUACGCGUCGUUGAUUAGGCAGUCCAUCAUCGAGUCUCCGGAGAAGCAGCUGACGCUGAACGAGAUCUACAACUGGUUCCAGAACACGUUCUGCUACUUCCGCCGGAACGCCGCCACGUGGAAGAACGCCGUCCGGCACAACCUGUCGCUGCACAAGUGCUUCAUGCGGGUCGAGAACAUCAAGGGCGCCGUCUGGACCGUGAACGAGGCAGAGUUUUGCAAGCGUCGUCCGCAGAAGCUGGGAAUAAUGCAGUUUAAAUUUCAGAACGCAGCCAGCGCCGCCGCAGCCGUGGCUGUGUCCGCUGCCGCCGCCGCUGCUGCUGCGUCGAUUUCCGUUUCGACGGGCCACUCGAAAAAGAAACAUUUGGGGCAAAUGGCCUCGCCCCAACAGCAGCCGGCCCUGAAGCCUCCGCCGCCGCCGGGCAGCUUCUACUACAAACGGUUCGUCGGUUUUCUUGGCAGUUUUUGGUUGUGCGCGGCGCGAGCCGCUUUUGAAACUCAUUUUGACUACUUUUUUUCUCUUGUGGAUUGUGCCUCUUCUCUACUUCCUCCUCUCCCUUGGCGUCAACACUUUUGAGAUCUUUUAGCAAUUUUUUAGACUUUUUUUGAUUAUUUUUGAACUAAUAUUAGGAAGAAACCGCUUCCAUUUCACAUUUAAACCAAAAUCGUUUUAAAAAACAAACACAUUAAAGCGAUUUUUCCCAACAAAAAAAAAACUAAAUCGAAGCGGUUUUUCAGCGCGAAAACGCACACAAACCAUGUGGUCGAAGGAGGCGUUGCAUACGGCAACGCAUUCUCAAGCGUCACACUGGUUUGUGUCUUCGCUAGACUCAGCAGCACACAGCAUUUUCAUCCCCCACCCUUGGAAUCAUUUCCGAAAACGAAGGGAUGCAAAAGCUUGCUGCGAUGCGACAGCAACAUUCAGCAGAAGGGGUGCGAUACAAAACGGAGCGUCGCGCAACGUGUUGCGUGACAUUGGUGUGUUGCAGCUGUCUGCUGUUUGUUGCGUGUUGCACUGGAAGAAAAUCGAAAAGGGGAUUCGUCAUAUUUGUUUGACGAAUUCUCAUUCGAUUGUUCUGUGAAAUUUAUGAAAUAUAUUCUAAACAAUGCUCGUCAGAAUAGUUUUGACUGUGAUUAUUCGUGACGAGGGUUACAUUUAGAAUAUAUGGAUUAAAUUUUGGAAUUGAUUAUAUAAUUUUCUGAGAAAUUUUGUAUCAACAAUAGAGUGGUUCGAGUGUGGCUGAAUUGUGCUUUAAAAGUUAAAUUUUUACCACCCUAAUCAACUAUCACAAAGUCUAUUUAAAGCUAAUUUUGAAGAUUGCACAUAUAUUAACCGAUACAGAAAAAAGAGUUAAAUCAAUAAAUAAAUUGAAAUGCUACAAAAAAUAUCAGCUUUCUAAAGUAAAUUUCUCACCUUCAUGUGCUGCUUUCACGUAUCGUGCUAUGGCAGGCAAGACAGAACGCCAUCCGGACGAACCUGUCGCUGCACAAGUGCUUCGUCCGGUACGAGGACGAUUUCGGCUCGUUCUGGAUGGUGGACGAUCACGAGUUUCUGAAGCGGCGCCAUCUGUCCCGGGGGAGGCCCCGCAAGUACGAC
rnacentral:misc_RNA from 1 species